rnacentral:rRNA from 1 species
ACGUGGAUAAUCUACCCUUAGGUCUGGAAUAACCCCGGGAAACUGGGGAUAAUACCGGAUAGAUCAUAGAUGCUGGAAUGCCCUAUGGUCUAAAGCUCCGGCGCCUAAGGAUGAGUCUGCGGUCUAUCAGGUUGUAGUGGGUGUAACGUACCUACUAGCCGACGACGGAUACGGGUUGUGAGAGCAAGAGCCCGGAGAUGGAUUCUGAGACACGAAUCCAGGCCCUACGGGGUGCAGCAGGCGCGAACACUUUACAAUGCGGGAAACCGCGAUAAGGGAACCCCGAGUGCCAGCACCAAGUGUUGGCUGUCCAGAUGAUUAAAUCUCAUUUGUUAGCAAGGGCCGGGCAAGACCGGUGCCAGCCGCCGCGGUAACACCAGCGGCCCGAGUGGUAACCGUUUUUAUUGGGUCUAAAGGGUCCGUAGCCGGUCUGAUAAGUCUUUUGGGAAAUCUGGCAGCUUAACUGUCAGGCUUCUAAGAGAUACUGUCAGGCUUGGGACCGGGAGAGGUAAGGGGUACUCCAAGGGUAGGAGUGAAAUCUUGUAAUCCUUGGGGGACCAUCUGUGGCGAAGGCGCCUUACCAGAACGGGUCCGACGG